GAGGAACCUGGCCUUGGAGAGGGGAAUAACACUCCGAAAGGAGUGCUAAUACCGCAUGAUGCAGUUGGGUCGCAUGGCUCUGACUGCCAAAGAUUUAUCGCUCUGAGAUGGCCUCGCGUCUGAUUAGCUAGUAGGCGGGGGUAACGGGCCCACCUAGGCGACGAUCAGUAGCCGGACUGAGAGGUUGACCGGCCACAUUGGGACUGAGACACGGCCCAGACUCCUACGGGAGGCAGCAUG
rnacentral:rRNA from 1 species